UCCGGGUGCUGGGAGCCUCCCCUCCCCUCCAAAACCUACUGCAGUCCAGUGGGCAGGAGGCCGAGAUCCUGGAGGAGGAGGGGUAACGAUAUUUUACAGUGUGUUAGCUGGGUGCCUCUUAACUGCCAACUAAUCUAUCUGGUCUUUUCCAGAACAAUUUUGGGGCCUGGGGAGAAGGAGGUGAUGGAGUGAUGAGACUUGACUAGACCAUUAGCCACAUGUAGCUAUUUAAAUUUAAAUUCAUAAAAAAGGAAUGAAAUAAAAAGAAUUCUUCCAGUGCACAUUCAGAGCAUCUGGUGUGCUCAGUAGCUUCGUACGGGGCAGCGCACAUACAGGACAUGCCCAUCACGGCGGAGAGUUCCACUGGACAGGGUUGGGCAAGGGGCUGACCUUGCCCCCUCCUGACCCUGGCUCCCUGAAUGACCCCACAGGCCACUUCCUGACACUGGGCGUGUCCAGGGCAGGGACGCGGUGUCGGGGGAUAAGGCCAAGCCGGACUAGUCCUGUCCGCGGGGCGGUUUCUGCAGCCUGCCCACUGGCCCUCACACCACCCAGGCGGGCCCGGCGGGCGCCCCCUGCUGGCCGCGAGCGGCAGGGCGCCAAGGGCGGCAAGGUGGGGCGGGGGGCCGGGAUCCCGGCGCCGAUGAUGCCGAGGGGACCGUCCCCGGGGAGUGCGGGCCCGGAGCAACUGGUGACCCAGCGCCGCCUAGGCCCGGCGCAGAGCGGCCUUCGGGGCGCGGCCGGGGGCAGCAGCCCGCGCCCUCCGCACCCCGGGUGUUCGGGCUAAUCCGGCAGGCCCGCACGGCGCGUUCGCGGCCACGGCCGCCUCGUCUUCCCCAUUCUCCGGAGGAACAAACUCAGGCCGCUGAGGAGCCCAAGCAGGGUCUCAGCCGCCCGCCUCCGGGGACACGCGCACCCCGUCGGCCGAGGGAACGGCGGCACGAGCCGAGGGAACAAGGGUCGGCGCGGCCCAGCCCACGGGGCGCCUUCCCCGCCCGCUCACAAGCAUGACUACAGCCUUAGGCAGAAGUUACCAGGGGGCCCUGGACUGGAGAACCGCCAGCCCUACUUACAGAAUCAGAAGCCCUCGGCGGGGGCCCAGCAGUCUGUUUUCAGCAAGCCCCGCGGGAAUUCUGAUGCCUGCUCGCGCUUGAGAACCACUGAUGUGGGCCGUCCUGCAGACGCUGCUGCCCCUGAGGUCUGGCCCCUCAGGUGGUCAGCGUAACUCAGUCUGUCGCCCACCCGGAAUUCCCACUCUGCUACCUAAUUUGAGCUGGACCUACAGAGCCUUGAGUUCCUCUAUUGCAAAAUGGGGAUGAUAGUAUCCACCAGACAGAGCUGUUAGGAGCCUCAACUGGGACAGUGUCUGAAAAUGUUUGCGAACGUGAAGAACAAUGCUGUAGGGGAGUGUCUGGGCUGUGGCUGUUUUAUUCCGUCUGCUGAGUUCCAAACCGAGCUGAAAUGCAGCUGGUUCUGUGAAUCCAAUCCUCUUUCUUUCCUUCCCUCCAACACUCCUAUUCCUCUCCCCACCUAAAAUGGCCAUUCAGAGACCCAGGGAAAGCCAUGCUCAAAGCAGUAAACAACCCCAAAAUAUCUCAACUUGAAUUGUGCACUCACCGCGGGCUAGACCCCGAGCUACCUGUUUCAUGUAUUUUAUGAAAUCCUUACGCAAUCCUGCAACGUUGGUACUGUGAAAGACGCUGAUAAGGAAAGUGAGGCAUAGAGAGAUUAUACAAUUUUCCCCCAGUCAUGGGGCUGGAUUUGAACUCAGGCAGCCCAUCAGUGUAGCCCUGGUCUCAGUGGUCACACAGUGCUGCCCCUAGAGCAUGCUUCUCAGGCCCCUGCAGUGAGGGACAGAGUGCCCUAGUGAAAAGAGCACUGGGUUACGAUUCACUCUGUAGCUCUGUGACCAUGGGUGAAUCAUUGUCUCAAGUGGAUGCAAAGGGGGUUCAUUAUGUCAUGCACACAGCUGAGUGCCUGACACGUAGUAGGUCCUUAGUGUAUAUCACGUGUUCAACAGCCUUCUCUUUCCCCAUUGUCUCCUCCUCAGAUCAGGCAGAGAUGGUUGUGGGAUCCACAGGGAUGAAGCUCAUGCUGUCUUCAUAACGCCCCUGAAAGUCAUGUGCCACCGGGAGAGGAGCUCCAGUGCUGGCCCUUGCUCACCGCAGCCUCCCCAGGGGCUCCCGGCUGCUGCUGUGGGUUCAUGGGCAUAGGCUGCUCAUUGUUUCCUACCACGGUGGCUCUGAACUGCCCUGGAGGUGUCCAGGGGAACCCUGGCGUUGUUCAGAGAGGGGGGGCUCUGCCAUGCCUAGUAGAUUGUUUUGUUUCCGCAGCUCCCCUUCUGACUCUGGCCAAGCUCCCACGCCUCACUCAGCCCACUGCCUCUCAGACGGGGCAGGAGGCCACGGGGCCUCGGGAAGGGCGCUCAGCGGUAAGGGGUGGGGGAGCCAAGUGGGUGUGCGGUGCCGAGGCAUGCUGAUCUAAAUUUGCGUUCUGUCUCUUACUAGAUAUUUAUAUUUCAACAAGUCCCAUUGUCAAGUCUCAGUUUUCUCAUCUAUUCAUUGGGAACUUUUUUUUAACAUUUUUAACUCCAAAAUGGAUAGGCAUAUAUUUGGAUUUUUGUUUCCCAUUCACAUUUGGGCUUUUUCUCAGUUCUAAUUCUGUUCUGACCUGAAGCCUCUGUUCACCUAGGGGAGACCCCUACACUUUGCCUUGCAACCCCCUGUGGAAAUGUGUGAGUUACUGACAUGCCUGACUCCCCAAAAAGGGGCAAAACCAGUGUGUUCACCCCUGUACCACUGAUGCAGUCUUCUGUCCUUUGCAUCGCUCUGUCUAAAUUCACAGUCCGUGGAGAGGGUGCGUGCAGUUGCCCAGCUGUGGUUUCUGGGCCAGCCUUGGCUAAAGAAGAUCAGGACACUUCACUGACUAUCAUAUCAAAACUGUACACAUGGGGGAAAGAGCUCAUUCUCCCGUAGAAAAUAAAUCCCAAGUUAAAAGAAAAAAAAGUACACCAUACUUUUUUGGAGGUAAUUGGUGGAGGGUGCAGUUCUACUUGUUCAUGAAACUCCAAGCUCUGGUCGGUGUGGCAGCUGUACCCCAAGAAGGUCCCUCCUUGGCUCUACUUCCUGGUGUUUGCACCUAGAGCCUGUAGGUGAGUGGGCCUGCCUCGGGGGACGUACACGCUGGAGUAUUUAAUGGUAGUGGGACAUUUUUGUCUGCAGGUUGUUCUCAAAUGAUUCCGUAAAAAAGACCCAUGAUAAUGGGAUAUAUGUAAGACUAGAAAGAUUGAGAGUGUGCACGUGAUCAUGAUCUGUUAGCAGUUGGGGAAUCUGGGUGAGGAGGAGGGUGUGCAACUUUUAAAUUUGAGAUUAUUUUGGGGAAAAAAAACUGUAUUAAGUAAAAGAAACAAGAUACAAAAGAGAACAUACCAUAUGAUUUCACUUAUAUGAAUUUCUGAACAGGCAAAGCUAAUCUAUGGUGAUAGAGAUCAGAACAGUUACUGCCUCUGGGGAGGGUGCAGAAUUGACUGGGAGAAAGAUGAGGGGAAUUUCUGGGGGGAUAAAUGUUUCUGUACAUUGGUUAUACAGUGUAUAUUCAAUCAUUAAAACUCAGAA